AUGGAGAAAAAACGAGGACGCUAAAUUGCAUAAGGACACUUAUGCAGCCAAAGAACAAUCUUGGCCUCCGAAGUAAAAGUUGUGAGUUCUCUUAACUACUCUAUACGAACUUGACCUUUGGACUUCUGCAUAAUUACUGAUGCUGUUGUGGUUUGCUUUCAGUAUGUAGUGGGGAAAUGGGGGAAGGAGAUUACAUCGCAAAUGGUCAAUGUUCAACUCAUUGAGGCUCUUGUUUGUAAAAGUGAUUUGGCUUGACAUCAAUUGAACCUCAACGUGUAAGGUCAGGAUCAAAUACAUAAGCCUAUCUAAUGUGCGCCCUCACCAAAUGCAUGUGGGAAGGGAGUUGUCAAUUGAGCUUUUUAGUUGCUUUUUGGAGUAAUUGGUGGCUUGAAGUUAAAUCUGUAGUUUGAUUUCAAGUUUGGAUGGAGGAGGCAGGACUAGACUGAAACAGGUCAGGUGAGCCAGGAUUGGAUGUAAGAUAGUUGAAAAUGACUUCCACCCAAAUAUUGCCUUCUAUUUGGUACUUUAUUCCCCAUAGUAUGUGCUGCAGAUUCUAAAGCAAAAGCAUAUAAUGAUUUAGCCCUUGAAUCUAUCAUCGAGGUGUCUUGCUCGGUGUCUAGAGCCUCCUCUGAUAAAGUUCGUACAUCUUUUGCCAUCUUUAUUUGACGUGCCAUCAGCUUUCCAUUAGGAUAGUUUCAGCACUUGUAGUUCCGGACCCAUAUGUGACUGUGGGUGUUCUUAUUAGGUAUAUGUUGGCGGGGUCAUGGAAUUUGUCUCUUGAUUGAAAUCUGUCAAGCACAUGGGUUUUCAUUUGAGCACAUUGUAAUAAGAAUCUUCUACCAUGUCCGAUAAAUUAUAGUUCUAUCAUCAUCGUGGAUCCUACAUAAAGACUGAAUCAGGAAUUAUUCUAUGUUUCUUUAGUGCAUGUACUGUGAUUUUGGCCUUAUUCUCGACUGCUAGCUUCAAUUAUUAUAUGUGUGAAAUAGCUACCAACCGG
rnacentral:lncRNA from 1 species